UCACUCAAAUGCUGCUGCAGAGAUAAGAAAUGGGACAGUAUCUGAAAAUGGAACAUGAAGUAAGGGAGUGUUUUGAUAGUAAUAUACUAGAGCAUGUUUGUACACUAACGGGAUGAUUCAGUAGAGAGGGGGAGCUGAUGAUGCAAGAGAAGAUAGUUACAGUAGGGAAGUCUAGAGAAGACAAGAGAGGCUAGGAUGCAGAGUACAG
rnacentral:lncRNA from 1 species